rnacentral:ncRNA from 1 species
UUCAAGGUGUCGUGGUCGGCCAGCAAUGCAAACCGGCCACGCUGAAACGGGAAAGCGGUGCGCUUCCGAUCUUUUGAAGCAAUGCCGCUACUGCCCCCGCAACGGUAAGCGAGUGCGGGCGUGUCAUCCAGCCACUGGGAAUGGGUUGCAUCCUGGGAAGGCGACACGUCAAGACUUGCGAGUCCGGAGACCGGCCUGAACGACCAGCGCAAGU